UACAGAGGGUGCAAGCGUUAAUCGGAAUUACUGGGCGUAAAGCGUGCGUAGACGGUUACAUAAGUCGGGUGUGAAAGCCCCGGGCUCAACCUGGGAAUUGCAUUUGAGACUGCUCUGCUCGGGUGCGGAAGAGGGAAGCGGAAUUUCCGGUGUAGCGGUGAAAUGCGUAGAUAUCGGAAGGAACACCAGUGGCGAAAGCGGCUUCCUGGUCCGACACCGACGUUCAGGCAUGAAAGCGUGGGGAGCAAACAGG
rnacentral:rRNA from 1 species